rnacentral:rRNA from 1 species
CGAUUGGGGGCGGCUACCAUGCAAGUCGGACGGUAGCACAGAGAGCUUGCUCUUGGGUGACGAGUGGCGGACGGGUGAGUAAUGUCUGGGGAUCUGCCCGAUAGAGGGGGAUAACCACUGGAAACGGUGGCUAAUACCGCAUAACGUCGCAAGACCAAAGAGGGGGACCUUCGGGCCUCUCACUAUCGGAUGAACCCAGAUGGGAUUAGCUAGUAGGCGGGGUAAUGGCCCACCUAGGCGACGAUCCCUAGCUGGUCUGAGAGGAUGACCAGCCACACUGGAACUGAGACACGGUCCAGACUCCUACGGGAGGCAGCAGUGGGGAAUAUUGCACAAUGGGCGCAAGCCUGAUGCAGCCAUGCCGCGUGUAUGAAGAAGGCCUUCGGGUUGUAAAGUACUUUCAGCGGGGAGGAAGGCGAUGGGGUUAAUAACCCCGUCGAUUGACGUUACCCGCAGAAGAAGCACCGGCUAACUCCGUGCCAGCAGCCGCGGUAAUACGGAGGGUGCAAGCGUUAAUCGGAAUUACUGGGCGUAAAGCGCACGCAGGCGGUCUGUUAAGUCAGAUGUGAAAUCCCCGGGCUUAACCUGGGAACUGCAUUUGAAACUGGCAGGCUUGAGUCUUGUAGAGGGGGGUAGAAUUCCAGGUGUAGCGGUGAAAUGCGUAGAGAUCUGGAGGAAUACCGGUGGCGAAGGCGGCCCCCUGGACAAAGACUGACGCUCAGGUGCGAAAGCGUGUGGAGCAAACAGGAUUAGAUACCCUGGUAGUCCACGCCGUAAACGAUGUCGACUUGGAGGUUGUUCCCUUGAGGAGUGGCUUCCGGAGCUAACGCGUUAAGUCGACCGCCUGGGGAGUACGGCCGCAAGGUUAAAACUCAAAUGAAUUGACGGGGGCCCGCACAAGCGGUGGAGCAUGUGGUUUAAUUCGAUGCAACGCGAAGAACCUUACCUAC